UCCCGGCAUUCCCGGCGGGGCGACGGUGCUGCCAUGGGCGCCGCCAUCUUUUCUCUUCCGAAGCGGUGGGGGACCCGGGGUCACGUGAUGGCUGUCAUUUGGCUUUGCGCUGAGACUCAUCCAAUUCUUUUAUUUUCCCAUCUUUUGGCAUGUCCUCUUGCACACAGAAUGAUCUGUAGCAAAUGAAGGGGAAGGACAAGGCAGAGAAUGACAAAUUAAGAAUCAACAACAACAUGGACCCCUUUGAACCCACCAUCAGUAACCACAACAAUUGAUU